rnacentral:rRNA from 1 species
GCUCAGGACGAACGCUGGCGGCGUGCUUAACACAUGCAAGUCGAACGAUGAACCACUUCGGUGGGGAUUAGUGGCGAACGGGUGAGUAACACGUGGGCAAUCUGCCCUUCACUCUGGGACAAGCCCUGGAAACGGGGUCUAAUACCGGAUACUGACCCUYGCAGGCAUCUGCGAGGUUCGAAAGCUCCGGCGGUGAAGGAUGAGCCCGCGGCCUAUCAGCUUGUUGGUGAGGUAAUGGCUCACCAAGGCGACGACGGGUAGCCGGCCUGAGAGGGCGACCGGCCACACUGGGACUGAGACACGGCCCAGACUCCUACGGGAGGCAGCAGUGGGGAAUAUUGCACAAUGGGCGAAAGCCUGAUGCAGCGACGCCGCGUGAGGGAUGACGGCCUUCGGGUUGUAAACCUCUUUCAGCAGGGAAGAAGCGAAAGUGACGGUACCUGCAGAAGAAGCGCCGGCUAACUACGUGCCAGCAGCCGCGGUAAUACGUAGGGCGCAAGCGUUGUCCGGAAUUAUUGGGCGUAAAGAGCUCGUAGGCGGCUUGUCACGUCGGUUGUGAAAGCCCGGGGCUUAACCCCGGGUCUGCAGUCGAUACGGGCAGGCUAGAGUUCGGUAGGGGAGAUCGGAAUUCCUGGUGUAGCGGUGAAAUGCGCAGAUAUCAGGAGGAACACCGGUGGCGAAGGCGGAUCUCUGGGCCGAUACUGACGCUGAGGAGCGAAAGCGUGGGGAGCGAACAGGAUUAGAUACCCUGGUAGUCCACGCCGUAAACGGUGGGCACUA